GUGGAACGCUGGCAUUGGGUCACCGGUCGUUUGAUCGGGGACGCGGCACGCUGUUGGGUCCUGAGGGAACAAGUAUCCCAUCUGUUGUUGUGGUGGGUGUCCCUUUGGUGGAAGUUGUGGGUUGGCAGUCAUCAUCACUGAACGGCUUGUGGCCGGUUGCCCUGGUGGGUGUGGUCGUGGGUUCGCGGUGGGUUGUGGUGGCGGGUCCGUCCGUACUUUGAGAACUGCACAGUGGAUGCGAGCAUCUUUGUGGCCAACUUAUUAAGGGCACACGGUGGAUGCCUAGGCAUCAGGACCCGAUGAAGGA
rnacentral:misc_RNA from 1 species